AACGAACGCUGGCGGCGUGCUUAACACAUGCAAGUCGAACGCGAAAGGGGGGCUUGCUCCCUGAGUAGAGUGGCGCACGGGUGAGUAACGCGUGGGUAACCUACCCUAAUGUGGGGGAUAACUACUCGAAAGGGUGGCUAAUACCGCAUGAGACCACGGAGUCUUCGGGCUCUGAGGCCAAAGAUUGCACCGGCCUGCCGGUGCCGUCGCAAUAGGAUGGGCCGGCGUACGAUUAGCUAGUUGGUGAGGUAAUGGCUCACCAAGGCUACGAUCGUUAGCUGGUCUGAGAGGAUGACCAGCCACACUGGAACUGGAACACGGUCCAGACUCCUACGGGAGGCAGCAGUGAGGAAUAUUGCGCAAUGGGGGAAACCCUGACGCAGCAACGCCGCGUGGGUGAAGAAGGCCUUCGGGUCGUAAAGCCCUUUCGGACGGGACGAACGCCUUGCGGGGAAACUCGUGAGGCUUGACGGUACCGUAAGAAGAAGCACCGGCUAACCCCGUGCCAGCCGCCGCCGUAACAC
rnacentral:rRNA from 1 species